rnacentral:rRNA from 1 species
UACGUAGGGUGCAAGCGUUGUCCGGAAUUAUUGGGCGUAAAGAGCGCGUAGGCGGUCCGAUAAGUCGGCUGUGAAAGUCAGGGGCUCAACCCUUGGAAGCCGGCCGAUACUGUCGGACUAGAGUCCGGAAGAGGCGAGUGGAAUUCCCGGUGUAGCGGUGAAAUGCGCAGAUAUCAGGAAGAACACCAACGGCGAAGGCAGCUCGCUGGGACGGUACUGACGCUGAGACGCGAAAGCGUGGGGAGCGAACAGG